ensembl:lncRNA
GUAAGUUAAUUUCAGUUGCAUCACACUAAAACAAGUGCUAGAUACCAGAUGUUAGCUGAUGCUGUGAGAUGUCUUAGCAGUGCUAAUAUGUGUUGAAACAUGUGUACCUUCCCAUGACUUGCGAGGAAUUAAAUCGACGAUGAAAACAAUGUACAAUCAUAAAACAUACUACAAUGGACCCGGAAGAGACGCUGCUCGGAGGCUCAUCUGGAACCUCCUCACCUAGGUCAACUCCACCACCUUCUACUCCACUGCGUGCUACAAUUACCGAUGAUCUACCUGGAACAAGGACCCAGCAAACAAGGCGAAUGAGAGACGUCGAUGUGCUGGUGAACCAGAUGCAAGUCAUGACUCAUCAAUGGACGGAGGACAUGGCAAGAAGUGAGGCCCGGGAGGAACGGUUGAUCGCCAGCAUCCUCCGCACUGACAGUAUGGUUGAGAAGCUGAUGCAGAGAAUGGAUAACAUUCAACCUCAACCAAACACAUUCUCACCACCACCACAACAUCAACCACCGCAAGAUGCGUAUUAUGGUUAUGGAUGCCUUACUUAUUUGCACUACCGCCUGAAAAGCAUCGUACCGUUCAUA